ACUUCAUCUUGAAGGAGAAACUACACAAGUUAGGGAUGUUGGGCUGUGUGAUGUGCAUUGUCGGUUUUGUCAUAAUUGUCAUCCACGCACCGCAAGAAAGUCUCAUUACUUCUGUUCAAGAAAUAUGGAUUAUGGCGACUCAACCAGCUUUUCUGCUUUACAUCGACUUGGUAAUCAUGUUGGUGUUCAUCCUGGUUUCCAUUUUUCACCUAGAUGUGGGCACACGGAUGUGCUAGUUUACACUGGCAUCUGCUCAUUAAUGGGCUCUCUCUCGGUGAUGAGUGUGAAAGCCCGUGGGACUUCUUUGAAGUUGACUUUUGAGGGAAGA